UACGGAGGGUGCAAACGUUGCUCGGAAUCACUGGGCGUAAAGGGUGCGUAGGCGGGUCUUUAAGUCAGGGGUGAAAUCCUGGAGCUCAACUCCAGAACUGCCUUUGAUACUGGAGAGCUUGAGUUCCGGGAAGAGGUGAGUGGAACUGCGAGUGUAGAGGUGAAAUUCGUAGAUAUUCGCAAGAACACCUGGGGCGAAGGCGGCCAGCUGGGCCGUCCCUGACGCUGAGGCGCCGAAGG
rnacentral:rRNA from 1 species